GGGCGUGUAGCUCAGCUUGGUUAGAGCGCUAUCCUGAUAAGAUAGAGGUCCCUGGUUCGAAUCCAGGCACGCCCACCC
rnacentral:tRNA from 1 species